rnacentral:lncRNA from 1 species
GUAACUCUGACCUAGAGGAAGGCAGGAUGACAUCAAGCUAACAAGAAAAAGGUGUUGGAGGUUCUUGGGGAAUAUACGGGAAGACCCUGCCCAGGGCCUGGCGCUUGGUAAGCACAGUAAAGAUGCACAGCAUGAGCGUUGCGCUGGACCCAUGAUGCAGUCACUGGCCAUUCUCUGCAGGGUAUUCAAAGCCUCGCCUACUCCCUGGCCUUCUGUGGAGCAACUCAUGUGGCCCUUCUGGUAUACCCUUGGACUUGCUGACUCAAAGGGCUAAAUAGUUCAGGAUGUUCCCUGUUUUCAGAGCCUUGAAGGCCCUAAUGUAACCUCUUUAUUUGACACAGAAGAUCUCAAAGAGAUUUUGUGACUCAUGCCUCACUGCUUCUACUAGCUUCUUUUUUAAAAAAAAAUUUACAUUAAAAAUUUUUUUGAUCAUGCCACAGAGCAGGUGGGAUCUUAGUUCCUGGGCCAGGGAUUGAACUUGUGCCCUUAGCAGUGAAAAGUGCGGAGUCCUAAACCACUGGACUGCCAGCGAAUUCCCUUCUAACUAGUUUUUAAUUUCUGUUGUAACAAGUUACCACAAGCUUAGAGGUCUAAGACAACAAGAAUGUGUUAUCUCAUAGUCCAGUUGUUCAGGGUCCCACAUAGGCGUCUCUGGGCUGAGAUCAAGGUGUGGGCAGGCCUGUCCCUUCUGGCGGCUCUGGGGAGGACCGUUUCCCUGAUGCUCCAGCCCUAGGGGUGCCUUCACCUGGAACAGGUGGUCACCCCCCAGUGUCCAAGUGAACAGUUCAGCAUUUCCCUUACCUGUCCUGUCAUCACAUCUCACUCUCUUCCUUUGGCUUCUUUCCUGUUUGUAAGGACACUGUGAUUACAUCGCGCCCACCAAAAUCAUCCAGAAUCAACU